rnacentral:ncRNA from 1 species
GAAUUUGUUUGGAGCGCGCGUCUUUGCCGCUCGGCAAAGACUGGGAAGCGGGUGAAAGUCCCGCGCUGCCGCGCAACUGUAAGCGAGGAAACUGCCUCCGGCCACUGGGAAAUCCCGGGAAGACCGGAUGCGCUGCUGGAUUUUGUAAUUCAUCCUCACUCGCAAAGCCAGGAGACCGGCGCGCUCUGUCACCGUCAAC